UGGGGAAUAUUGCACAAUGGGGGAAACCCUGAUGCAGCGACGCCGCGUGAAGGACGAAGUAUUUCGGUACGUAAACUUCUAUCAGCAGGGAAGAAAAUGACGGUACCUGACCAAGAAGCCCCGGCUAACUACGUGCCAGCAGCCGCGGUAAUACGUAGGGGGCAAGCGUUAUCCGGAUUUACUGGGUGUAAAGGGAGCGUAGACGGCCGUGCAAGUCUGAUGUGAAAACCCGGGGCUCAACCCCGGGAGUGCAUUGGAAACUGCAUGGCUGGAGUGUCGGAGAGGCAAGUGGAAUUCCUAGUGUAGCGGUGAAAUGCGUAGAUAUUAGGAGGAACACCAGUGGCGAAGGCGGCUUGCUGGACGACGACUGACGUUGAGGCUCGAAAGCGUGGGGAGCAAACAGG
rnacentral:rRNA from 1 species